AACACAUGGCCUGGAAGUGAAAGAGGCCCCAGAGGCCCAGGGCUCCAGCACCCCAGGACUGAAGGGCAAAGGGCCGUGCUCUCCUUGUUCCCUGCUGGACCCCGACAUCCAGAAGAGUGCCUGCGCACAGCUAGUGCUCAGCAGCCGUCGCCAAAUACGCUUGACAGUUUGGAGCUCAGAAGUAUUACUGAGAUUCCAGGAAAAAAAAAAAAAAAAAAAUCACUAAAGUUGGAAUUGGUUUUUGCAUAUCACUAGGUGUUCGCAAAUGGGCAGAAUCAAAAUCUAAGAGCCGGCUUCAGAAGAGGAGGAGAAAUGAUACUUUCUGAUUGUGCCCUCAUGCCAGCGCGGUUCAGAUCGGGCCCAAGAUGAAUGAAUCACCGCGGAUAUGGGAACAGACCGCUCCAUCACAGAAAUCCCCUGGCCGUUCCUGGUGCCCUGACCCCACAAGAACGCUGCCUCCACAAGUCUCGGGAUCAGAUCCCCUCUGUCUCGCCUGAGCCACAGCCUGACAACCCGCCAUAUGUUACCACGGGCCGGCGCCUCCAUUUCUCCUUUUGUUCCAUUUUUUCUUUCUUUCUUUUUAAAAGAGGAGGAGGGAAGUUUAUUUCCAAACUCCCUCGCAUCUGAUGCGCGAUGGGCUGGCAUUUGCUGUUAAAGCAGAAAAUUAUAAGGAGGGCCUAAUUGACCCUCCUGUGUCUUUGGAAAAGCCUGUCUGUGGUCUCUAAUUGACCCUCUAGGUACCCACGGAACAAUGAAUGAAUCUUCAGGAAAUAAUGGAGGGCGAUGAUUAAUAGCCUGGGUCUGGCUGGACCUGUGUCUCUCCCAGCUCUUCCCCCUGCACUUUCCUUCUUCCCUGCAUGACACUCGAGUCCCCGGAUUUCAUAAGCUGCGAUUUAUUAUUAUCGCUGAAUAAUAAACACCCUGCAGGCGACACUUUAAAAAAUCGGACCACAUCACGAUUCUGCAGAGAUUGGGGUAACAUUUAUGUAAGCUGGCAUUCUCAUUUUCUCCUUGGCUAAUGCUCGGAUGAGUCUUCCCCCACCCCGGCCGUUUUUUGUGGGCCGAGGCAAAACAGGAGGCUUCUCUCCGGUAUCUAGUAAAGUCACUGCAAACCUGAAGCCCUUUGGAAUUGGGAGGCUUUUUUUCCUAUUCCGGGGAACCAAGAGUCCCCAUUCCGCCUUGUUCAGGUGAGGAAUAAAGGCCCUUCAGGAGUGCAGCGAAUGACAAUACUAACAGUAAAAAGUGACCUCCCUUUAGGGUCAAGUGUGUAACGGCCCCUCUUACACAUCAUCUUGAGAUAAUACUCCCGCAAGCCCUGAGACGGAGUCAAUGCUAUUAUCCCCAUUUUUCAGAUGAGUAAGCUGAGGCUGCAGAGAAAGUAAUUUGCCCAGAGUCACAAGGUCCCCAUUUCUGUAUGUCUCACAAUGUUCAACAAUACCUGUGCCAAAUGUACAAUACUAAAGGGAAAUUUUUUUGAAAUAAUGGGUAAAAGAAUAAAAAGGAAUGAAUGCCUUUCCUUUCUUUUAGUUUGGCUUUAAAAUGCU